rnacentral:lncRNA from 1 species
AUUUUACUUUGAACUUUCAUAAAUGGAAAGACAAAGGAGACGUUUUGGGAGCCAGAAGGAAUCCAUUUGAAUAGUAUAAGGAAUGAAACCUAUGUGAAUUUUUAUGGGUCACAAAUGGAAGCUAUUCCUUCCAUUAAGCCAACCCUGGCACCUUUUCUAUGACUAGGAAAGUGUCUUUACCAGUAACCCUGUGACAUGAGCUAAAACCAUUUGCAAUUAUCUAGAUAUCUUGCAUCCAACUUCCCAUAUUCAGAGCUUCCCUCGUUGUUUCUCAGCACAGUUUUGAAUACACCCACAUGCCUCCCCUGUGGCAGAGUCACUGGCUGGGCUGGAAUGACCUCAUCCUUGCUUCCCCCAAACCCAUAGACUCAUGGUCUGCUCAAUAGUUUCUUUAGAGUAGCCCCUCCUAUCUUGCCAUUGAUCUUUCUCUUCCUGAGUCCUUGCUCCAGUUGUGGUUUGCUUAUCUACUAGCCUAAUAUAAUUGGUCCUUGUAUUAUUUCAAGUUCAAUACUUUGUGGUCUCAAUGACUUGAUUUUAACUUCUUGAAUAUCUAACUGGCAUCAGUUUUCCUCCUUACUUUCCUCCAUUUUCUCCUCACAUUCUUCCUCCUUCUGAGGCUUUUCCCCUCUAUACAGUAGCCCAGCAUUAAAUGAUACUUUCAAUGAGUAAGAAAAACAAUUGCCACAGGACUUUUCAGCAUGACUUUUGGCACUGUCUAGUUACAUUCACUUUCAUUUUGUAGAUGGUGAUUCUGCUCAUAUAUCUGUUUGGGUGAUUGAAUGUUCGACAUUUCUAUACAAUAAAUAGUAUCUUUGUUCUUAAGACAUGAAGAGUAUAUUAGUUAAUUUUUAAAAAAAUAUAUAGUUAAGCGGGCCCCUUUCAUGAUCAUUUAGCAGGAUAUAACAGCUUGAAUUUGGUCCUUUUCAAUCUGUCCCCAAAACUUAUACAUUAUAUUCUGAUGUUCUGAUGCUGUGUGCCCAGAAUAUGAUUUCCCUUGGAAUUACAAGCAUUUUUAUUAAGAGGAUACUUUUCUUGACUACAAUAGACCCCCUAAUCUAAUAUGACUAUUGAUUUUAAAAUGAAAUUACCAUUAACAUAAAUGCUUUGUGGUUGGAGGCCCCUUGAAAACGAGGACAUCAUGAGUUUUGCAGACAAAUGGAUGGAACUAGAAAAUGUCAUCCUGAGUGAGAUAACUCAGACACAAAAGGACAUGGAUGAUAUAUUCUCACUAAUAAGUAGAUAUUAGCC